AGUCUAAUAGUUUAUUUAGAAUGUAGAUUUGCAAAAUCUGAGGGCGCCUGUAGGAGUUAGACCU
rnacentral:tRNA from 1 species